UGGUGUGGAUGAUGAGAUAAUCAAUUUUACAGUUAUCCCUGGCUGAUAUUGCAGAUGCUGAAAAUUUGUAAUCUGACACAUAU
rfam:Lupinus angustifolius cultivar Tanjil chromosome LG16, whole genome shotgun sequence.